ensembl:snRNA U6 U6 spliceosomal RNA
UGCUUGCUUUAAAAACCCAUAUACUAAAUUGAAAUGAUACAAAGAAGAUGAACAUCGCCCCUGCACAAGGACUUUGCAAAUUUGUAAAAUGUUCCAUAAUUUU